rnacentral:rRNA from 1 species
CAGCCUGUUCAACCCUUUGUCUUUUGCGUACUGUAUGUUUCCUCGGCGGGUCCGCCCGCCGAUAGGACACUUCAAAACCUUUUGUAAUUGCAAUCAGCGUCAGAAAAACUAUAAUAGUUACAACUUUCAACAACGGAUCUCUUGGUUCUGGCAUCGAUGAAGAACGCAGCGAAAUGCGAAAAGUAGUGUGAAUUGCAGAAUUCAGUGAAUCAUCGAAUCUUUGAACGCACAUUGCGCCCCUUGGUAUUCCAUGGGGCAUGCCUGUUCGAGCGUCAUUUGUACCCUCAAGCUCUGCUUUUUCAGCAUCUUGGUGUUGGGUGUUUGUCCCGCCCUCGCGUGUGGACUCGCCUUAAAGUGAUUGGCAGCCGGAAUAAUUCUGGGGAACGCAGCACAACUGCAGCCUCCAUGUUACGCCGAGCGUCCAGUAAGCCUUUUUUCAACGUUUGACCUCGGAUCAGGUAGGGAUACCCGCUGAACUUAAGCAUAUC